ensembl:snRNA U6 U6 spliceosomal RNA
GUGCUCGCUCUGGCAGCACAUAUACUGAAAUUGGAACAAUACAGAGAAGAUUAG